CUCCAACAGAGACUGGGAGUCCAUUUCUCAUCACGGAAGCUUGAAAAAGGAGUUUGCAGUUAAUGAAUUUGAAAUGCCGAAUUUCCCUGAACUUUAUGAAGAGGCAAAGGCUCAGGGAAGAAGAUCUUUGAAAAUGGAUUUAGAAGCGUGCAAGAUGCUCAGCACCCACUAGCAUACUCCUGGGAGGCCAGGAGACACUUCGUGUGUGCAGGUGUUCAGACCAGCUUUACUGUGGUCAGAGGAGGGCUUGUUUUGCUAAAGUGGAAAGCAUCUGGGAUGG